rnacentral:lncRNA from 1 species
AGCGACCAUGAGACCCUCCAAACUGGGGUCUUGAAAUCCUUCAAAACUUUACCCUCCCAUUGAUCACCUUCCUUGGCCACAGUCCAUAUUACAACUGUUCCAUCCUGUGAAGCACUUGCAAUUGUGGACUUUGGAAGCCCCAAAUUGGGUGCCCAAGCCACAUCCCUUACCCAAUCUGUAUGCAUCUGAAGAGCAGGGAAACAGUCCAUCUUCCAAUUCCCGUUGUAUAGCUUCCACACCUUCACAGUAUUAUCACAGCCACCAGAAACCAGCUUCUGAACAGGAUCCAGCAGACCAGAUCCAACCAGAGCACCAGGAGCCAUUGAUGGGGCCCAUGAAACUGAGGUUACUCCAACAGGGUGAGCUUGAUCUAUCUUUGUGGUGUCCCAAGUGCCAUCAGACCUAGCAGUGAAGACAGAGAUAUUCCCAUCAGAGGACCCACAAGCCAAGCAGAGGCCAAGUUCAUGAGGUGCCCAAGCAAUGGAGUUGACAGAUGAUUUAUGAUCACUGAAAACAUGAGCUUGUGUCCACUCAUUUUG